GACGAACGCUGGCGGCGUGCUUAACACAUGCAAGUCGAGCGGAAAGGCCCUUCGGGGUACUCGAGUGGCGAACGGGUGAGUAACACGUGAGUAACCUGCCCUAGGCUUUGGGAUAACCCCGGGAAACCGGGGCUAAUACCGGAUAUGACCUGGUGCCGCAUGGUGUUGGGUGGAAAGUUUUUUCGGCCUGGGAUGGGCUCGCGGCCUAUCAGCUUGUUGGUGGGGUGAUGGCCUACCAAGGCGAUGACGGGUAGCCGGCCUGAGAGGGCGACCGGCCACACUGGGACUGAGACACGGCCCAGACUCCUACGGGAGGCAGCAGUGGGGAAUAUUGCACAAUGGGCGGAAGCCUGAUGCAGCGACGCCGUGUGAGGGAUGAAGGCCUUCGGGUUGUAAACCUCUUUCAGCAGGGACGAAGCGUGAGUGACGGUACCUGCAGAAGAAGCGCCGGCCAACUACGUG
rnacentral:rRNA from 1 species